GUGCUCACUUCAGCAGCACAUAUACUAAAAUUGGAACGAUACAGAGGAGAUUAGCAUGGCCCCUGUGCAAGGAUGACACGCCAAUUCGUGAAGCGUUGCAUAUUUAU
rnacentral:snRNA from 1 species